GAUGAACGCUGGCUACAGGCUUAACACAUGCAAGUCGAGGGGAAACGACGGGGAAGCUUGCUUCCCCGGGCGUCGACCGGCGCACGGGUGAGUAACGCGUAUCCAACCUGCCUCUGACUGAGGGAUAACCCGUCGAAAGUCGGCCUAAUACCUCAUGGCAUCGUCUGCGGGCAUCCAACGACGAUUAAAGAUUUCAUCGGUCAGGGAUGGGGAUGCGUCUGAUUAGCUUGUUGGCGGGGUAACGGCCCACCAAGGCUACGAUCAGUAGGGGUUCUGAGAGGAAGGUCCCCCACAUUGGAACUGAGACACGGUCCAAACUCCUACGGGAGGCAGCAGUAAGGAAUAUUGGUCAAUGGGCGGGAGCCUGAACCAGCCAAGUAGCGUGCAGGAUGACGGCCCUAUGGGUUGUAAACUGCUUUUAUGCGGGGAUAAAGUGAGGGACGUGUCCUUCAUUGCAGGUACCGCAUGAAUAAGGACCGGCUAAUUCCGUG
rnacentral:rRNA from 1 species